CCUACGGGAGGCAGCAGUGAGGAAUAUUGGUCAAUGGACGAGAGUCUGAACCAGCCAAGUAGCGUGAAGGAUGACUGCCCUAUGGGUUGUAAACUUCUUUUAUAUGGGAAUAAACUGUUCCACGUGUGGGCUUUUGUAUGUACCAUAUGAAUAAGGAUCGGCUAACUCCGUGCCAGCAGCCGCGGUAAUACGGAGGAUCCGAGCGUUAUCCGGAUUUAUUGGGUUUAAAGGGUGCGUAGGCGGAAGGUUAAGUCAGCGGUCAAAUGUCGGUGCUCAACACCGGCCUGCCGUUGAAACUGGUCGUCUUGAGUGAGCGAGAAGUAUGCGGAAUGCGUGGUGUAGCGGUGAAAUGCAUAGAUAUCACGCAGAACUCCGAUUGCGAAGGCAGCAUACCGGCGCUCAACUGACGCUGAGGCACGAAAGCGUGGGGAUCGAACAGGAUUAGAUACCCCAGUAGUC
rnacentral:rRNA from 1 species